rnacentral:rRNA from 1 species
GAUGAACGCUGGCGGCGUGCCUAAUACAUGCAAGUCGAGCGAACUGAUUAGAAGCUUGCUUCUAUGACGUUAGCGGCGGACGGGUGAGUAACACGUGGGCAACCUGCCUGUAAGACUGGGAUAACUUCGGGAAACCGAAGCUAAUACCGGAUAGGAUCUUCUCCUUCAUGGGAGAUGAUUGAAAGAUGGUUUCGGCUAUCACUUACAGAUGGGCCCGCGGUGCAUUAGCUAGUUGGUGAGGUAACGGCUCACCAAGGCAACGAUGCAUAGCCGACCUGAGGGGGUGAUCGGCCACACUGGGACUGAGACACGGCCCAGACUCCUACGGGAGGCAGCAGUAGGGAAUCUUCCGCAAUGGACGAAAGUCUGACGGAGCAACGCCGCGUGAGUGAUGAAGGCUUUCGGGUCGUAAAACUCUGUUGUUAGGGAAGAACAAGUACAAGAGUAACUGCUUGUACCUUGACGGUACCUAACCAGAAAGCCACGGCUAACUACGUGCCAGCAGCCGCCGUAAAAC